rnacentral:rRNA from 1 species
ACAACUCUCGGCAACGGAUAUCUCGGCUCACGCAUCGAUGAAGAACGUAGCAAAAUGCGAUACUUGGUGUGAAUUGCAGAAUCCCGUGAACCAUCGAGUUUUUGAACGCAAGUUGCGCCCGAAGCCAUUUGGUUGAGGGCACGUCUGCCUGGGCGUCACGC